rnacentral:tRNA from 1 species
AAAGGAUUAGUUAAUUAAUAUAACAUCAGAAUGUCAAACUGAAAUAAUCAUGAAGAUAUCCUUUU